rnacentral:ncRNA from 3 species
UGUAAACAUCCCCGACUGG